UUGAUCCUGGCUCAGAUUGAACGCUGGCGGCAGGCCUAACACAUGCAAGUCGAGCGGAAACGAGUUAUCUGAACCUUCGGGGGACGAUAACGGCGUCGAGCGGCGGACGGGUGAGUAAUGCCUAGGAAAUUGCCCUGAUGUGGGGGAUAACCAUUGGAAACGAUGGCUAAUACCGCAUGAUGCCUACGGGCCAAAGAGGGGGACCUUCGGGCCUCUCGCGUCAGGAUAUGCCUAGGUGGGAUUAGCUAGUUGGUGAGGUAAGGGCUCACCAAGGCGACGAUCCCUAGCUGGUCUGAGAGGAUGAUCAGCCACACUGGAACUGAGACACGGUCCAGACUCCUACGGGAGGCAGCAGUGGGGAAUAUUGCACAAUGGGCGCAAGCCUGAUGCAGCCAUGCCGCGUGUGUGAAGAAGGCCUUCGGGUUGUAAAGCACUUUCAGUCGUGAGGAAGGCGGGUACGUUAAUAGCGUAUUCGUUUGACGUUAGCGACAGAAGAAGCACCGGCUAACUCCGUGCCAGCAGCCGCGGUAAUACGGAGGGUGCGAGCGUUAAUCGGAAUUACUGGGCGUAAAGCGCAUGCAGGUGGUUUGUUAAGUCAGAUGUGAAAGCCCGGGGCUCAACCUCGGAAUAGCAUUUGAAACUGGCAGACUAGAGUACUGUAGAGGGGGGUAGAAUUUCAGGUGUAGCGGUGAAAUGCGUAGAGAUCUGAAGGAAUACCGGUGGCGAAGGCGGCCCCCUGGACAGAUACUGACACUCAGAUGCGAAAGCGUGGGGGAGCAAACAGGAUUAGAUACCCUGGUAGUCCACGCCGUAAACGAUGUCUACUUGGAGGUUGUGCCUUUGAGCGGUGGCUUUCGGAGCUAACGCCGUUAAGUAGAA
rnacentral:rRNA from 1 species